rnacentral:rRNA from 1 species
UACGUAGGGUGCAAGCGUUGUCCGGAAUUAUUGGGCGUAAAGAGCUUGUAGGCGGUUUGUCGCGUCUGCUGUGAAAUUUCGGGGCUCAACCCCGAACUUGCAUUGGGUACGGCAGACUAGAGUGUGGUAGGGGAGACUGGAAUUCCUGGUGUAGCGGUGAAAUGCGCAGAUAUCAGGAGGAACACCGAUGGCGAAGGCAGGUCUCUGGGCCACUACUGACGCUGAGAAGCGAAAGCAUGGGGAGCGAACAGG